rnacentral:rRNA from 1 species
UACAGAGGUCCCAAGCGUUGUUCGGAUUCACUGGGCGUAAAGGGUGCGUAGGUGGUGAGGUAAGUCGGAUGUGAAAGCUCGGAGCUCAACUCCGAAAUGGCAUUGGAAACUACCUUGCUCGAGGGUUGGAGGGGGGACUGGAAUUCUCGGUGUAGCAGUGAAAUGCGUAGAUAUCGAGAGGAACACCAGUGGCGAAGGCGAGUCUCUGGACGACUCCUGACGCUCAGGCGCGAAAGCUAGGGGAGCGAACUGG